AGAAAGCAUGACUGAGGAAGCCUCAGUAAACUUACAAUUAUGGCAGAAGGUGAAGAGAAAGCAGACACCUCUUAACAUGCUGGAGAAGGAGGAAGAGAGAGAGAAGGGGGAAGUCCUACACUCUUUUAUAAACAACCAGAUCUCAUGAGAAUUCACUCACUAUUACAAGAACAGAAAGGUUCUUGGUUCAUGGUUCAAUCAGCUCCUACCAGGCUCCUCCUCCAACAUUGGGGAUUACAAUUCAACAUGAAAUUUCAGCAGAGACACUGACUCAAAUCAUAUCAGGGAUAGGAAAUACGACCUGUCUCACUUUGAUCCAUAUUGAAGGCUUCGGAUUUCCUUCAUUCUCCAAGUGAUGCAAAACCAAGAUUCUCACCUAAGUGCUGAAACGACCUCAUAGCACAAAGGGGAGACAGAAAUUUUAAAAGUUCUGGAAGAGGGGAAGUCCAAGGUCAAGGUGCUAGCAGAUUUUGUGUCUGGUGAGAGCUGCUCUCUGCUGCCAAGAUGGCAUCUCUUGGUAAGGAAGAUGAGGCACAGAGAGGUUGAAUAAAUGGGCCAAAUUCAUCAACUGCUAAGUGGAAGAGCCAGCACUUGAAGCCAGACUGUCUGCCUCUGUAACAUUAAACACUCAAUCAGACUGACCCUGAUGGAUAUGGGGAAGAUUUUAAGUGUUUAAUGCAGAAUGAUGACAUAAAUGACUUGCUUAUUUAGAACAGUAACUCUGCAGUUGAAAGGAUGAAUUAAAUGUUGGGAAGUGGUUAUUAAAAUGCUGUUGCAGUGGUCCAGGUAGCCAAAUAUAAGAACAUCACUAUGGUUAUUGUAGUGAGGAUACAUAAAUAAAGGACAGAUUGGAGACUUCUUGAGCAACCAGAAUUGGCAGAACCUGUUGAUGGAUUGGGGUAAUUAACAUUAGGGCACACACAAAAAAAGGAAGGUAACAUUUCAUCUCCAAACUAGAAAAAGAUAGAUAUGAUUUAGUUGGGAAGAUGAAGAACUUUGAGCAUAUUACCUGCAAGAUACUCAAACAAAACUCAGUAGGACACAAUUAUACUUGCAGGGUGAAUCUCAAGAGGAAAAGGAUUUAAGUGCAGAUGUGGUAGCCAUCAGAGGAAAGAAGUUAUUUUAAGAUAUGAGUGUGGAUAUCGUUUUAUAAAGAAGGGUGAAGAAUGACAAGAGAAAAGGGUUACAUACAGACGAUCUGUGGAGCAGCUGACUAAGUGAUGUGCAAAUUAGACUGGCAAGGAAAGACAAGAGUUAGAAAGAAAACCAGAGGAAAGAGAUGCCCCAGAAACAAGAGAGAAGCAGGAAAAUAUUACAUUAUCACUAAGUCUAAGGUUUUAGGGCUCCUCAAGAGUAUCCUUUGGAAUUGAUCAUAAUGAUGCCCCCAGUGAUCCUAAGGAAUGCCCUGAAAUGCGGUAGCUGGAGCUAGUCCCAAUCGCAAGGCACUAAAUUUUCUUCCAUGAGCAGUUCAGUGCUAGUGACGAAGGGAGCGCCUGACUGAUGCACAAAGAUGACAGCUAUGUGGCCAAGAGACCAAGACUAUGAGAAAAUGUUCCAUUCUGGCCCUGCCCCCAGAUGGAGCUGUAUGCUCAUCAGUGGAGCGAUAAAAUGCCAUGGCCUGGGAGGCGGGGGAGGAAAAGUUCUCUGUAACUCUUACCAUUCAAAAGUUUGUCAAGGCAUCAUUUUUCUUCAGAAGCAGAGAAGUCUGUCCCCUGUUGUUACUUGACAAGUAUUAACUAAAAGCCUACUCUGUGCCUUAGGCUGGGAAAUACCUUCCUACUAUACUUAGAGUAAGAAGAAGAGGAAGAUUCUCAGAAGGUAUUUACAACUUACUCAGUAACUUCCCAGAUUUAAAUUACUUAGAAAAAGCAAUAUCAAGUCUGUAAUCUAAUAUGUAAUUGAUACAGGAUACACAACUUCAGGGGAAUUGUGAUGUCCUGAAAUAUUCUUUCAAAUGCAACAGAAGGCACGAAGUAUAAUUAUAAAAUGACACUGGUUUCUACAAAUCAAAGGAAAAAUUGGUCUUUGUUCAAGGUCACACAUUACAUUCAAUUAGAUGUUUGUAUUUAGGAGGCUAUCCCGACCCACACAUGCUUUCAGCUUACAGACCCACACAUGUGCAAAGAAACACAGAACUCAAAAAAUCAUAAAAAUCAUAAUGUAUAAAUUUUUCAGAGCUAUUAAUUUUUCAUAUGAAAUUUUAAUCCAUUUCUUUUAUAACCGGUAGUAUUAGAUCUCAUAUUUCUGUUUCAUUCCCUUUCCUCACUUUGAAGCAGUUGAUAUAUUUACAUGAAAAUGACCUCUUUGUUCUUUAGAAAAUCAUCUCAGGCUUAUUCUCUACCCAGAAUUACAAUAAUCCUAUAUUUGUGACAUCUUAAUCACCUCCACAGCAACCGAUUGUGAGGUUAGAAACAGAGGAUUAAAACUUCAAGUGGAAAAUAAGAAGCAGGAAUUGAUGAGUUCUUAACAAACCAAGAUUUUUUUUUUCUUCAAAAUAAAUUACUCCAAGGAACAAGAAAGGAUUUUCAAACGAGGACUAUGAAGAAUAUAGAGAAAUACAGCAGAGCUGUUUAUCAAAGUUUUCCUUGGUAUGUCAGCAGGUCCUUUGGAACUGACAGUGCUGAUCUAAACAUUUCAAUAAUAAUAGAAGUGUUAACAGUGAUAGGAACAAAUAAUAUUAAACACUGUCAACUGCAGCAUUUCAUUUUCACUGGCCUGACAACCACUGCUGCAAAAAAUGAAAUGAGGAGAAAGAGACUUAACUGUUGAGUCAUUGCAAAUAAGACUCUAUUAACAAUACUAGCAAUGGGAACAAGGGUAUUAAAAUGAAAGAAAGCAAGAAAAAAAUGAAAGAAAAAGAGAAAGGAGAGAGCAAGAGCGGGGGAGGAGAAAGAAGGAGAGAGGGAGGGAGAAAAAAAGGAACUCAAGCCUGACUCCUGUCUUUAAUAGUGAGUGCAAGUUUUGGGUUUCUUUUUGUUUAUAUUUUUACAGGAUACAUAGAAACAAAUAUGUAAUAAAUAAAAAUGGAAGUGUGUCAUAUUAUUGAAAAAUAAAACCUGCCUAAAAAUAUGUAGGAAACUGAUGUUGAUUCUUUAAUGUUGGCCCCAUCUCCACCUCACCACCGUGAACCAAAAUAACAAUCUACUUAUUGAAGAGGACAUGUCACCUUUGAACUAAAUAUCUCGGUCUUGUCUUAGUGGAACAUGGCAUCACUUACACA
rnacentral:lncRNA from 1 species